rnacentral:rRNA from 1 species
CCUACGGGAGGCAGCAGUGGGGAAUAUUGGACAAUGGGUGAAAGCCUGAUCCAGCCGUGCCGCGUGUGUGAAGAAGGCCUUCGGGUUGUAAAGCACUUUCAGUGGGGAAGAAAGCCUUGGGGCUAAUACCCUCGAGGAAGGACAUCACCCACAGAAGAAGCACCGGCUAACUCCGUGCCAGCAGCCGCGGUAAUACGGAGGGUGCGAGCGUUAAUCGGAAUUACUGGGCGUAAAGCGCGCGUAGGCGGUCUGAUAAGCCGGUUGUGAAAGCCCCGGGCUCAACCUGGGAACGGCAUCCGGAACUGUCAGGCUAGAGUGCAGGAGAGGAAGGUAGAAUUCCCGGUGUAGCGGUGAAAUGCGUAGAGAUCGGGAGGAAUACCAGUGGCGAAGGCGGCCUUCUGGACUGACACUGACGCUGAGGUGCGAAAGCGUGGGUAGCAAACAGGAUUAGAUACCCCGGUAGUC